GUGCUCGCUUCGGCAGCACAUAUACUAAAAUUGGAGCGAUACAGAGAAAAUUAGCGUGGCCCCUGCGCAAGGA
rnacentral:snRNA from 1 species